rfam:Lysinibacillus sphaericus OT4b.31 genomic scaffold Ls31_scaffold1, whole genome shotgun sequence.
UUAAAAGUGUUGAUAAGGAGAAGUAAGUGGCGCAUGCUCUAUAGAGAGGACCAUCACCGGCUGAAAGUGGUCUGAGCCAAGGCAAAACUGAAAUGCACCUUUGAGCAUAGGGCUGAACGUUAAGUAGGCUUUAUCGGGUCGUUCCCGUUACAGAACAUCCAGAGUGGAAGGCCUGUGCCUUCAAUCAGAGUGGAACCGCGCAAAUUUAGCGUCUCUGUC